ensembl:lncRNA novel transcript
GUCCUCGUGGGCACUUCACCCUGCUCUGCAGCCACACUCACACCCUAGAUCCAGGUCACACUAGGUAUGAUUUGCUUCUCCUGGCCUUUCCUCUCACCAGCCCCGCUAUCACCUCAUUUAGAAGAGGCAAAGACCCCACUGGCUCGGACUUCACCAACCUGGAGCAGGGGAGAGAAGCUAAGUUCUGACCUUUGAUCAGAAGAUGGGGAAGCCACACUCAACACGUCACUGCCUUGGGAGGUGGAUUUGGGGAUGGUGGGUCCUGGGGAAAAACGGGCUUUUGGUGUGGAAAUGACAUCUUUCCUGUUUCCGACCUCUGCCUGCCUCAUGCCAGGUGAGACACCUUCAUGCCUGUUUCCAUGAUUGAGAACAUGGGAGUACGCUUCUUUCCACCUAC